rnacentral:rRNA from 1 species
CCUACGGGUGGCAGCAGUGAGGAAUAUUGGUCAAUGGGCGCGAGCCUGAACCAGCCAAGUCGCGUGAGGGAAGACGGUCCUCUGGAUUGUAAACUCCUUUUGCCGGGGAGCAAAAGACGCCUCGCGUGGCGUUCCGAGAGUGCCCGAAGAAACAGCAUCGGCUAACUCCGUGCCAGCAGCCGCGGUAAUACGGAGGAGGCGAGUGUUAUCCGGAUUUAUUGGGUUUAAAGGGUGCGCAGGCGGAAGAGCAAGUCAGCGGUAAAAUUGAGAGGCUCAACCUCUUCGAGCCGUUGAAACUGGUUAUCUUGAGUGAGCGAGAGGUAAGCGGAAUGAGUGGUGUAGCGGUGAAAUGCAUAGAUAUAACGCAGAACUCCGAUUGCGAAGGCAGCAUACCGGCGCGCAACUGACGCUCAUGCACGAAAGUGUGGGUAUCGAACAGGAUUAGAUACCCUUGUAGUC